rnacentral:rRNA from 1 species
GACGAACGCUGGCGGCGUGCUUAACACAUGCAAGUCGAACGGAAAGGCCCUGCUUUGGUGGGGUUCUCGAGUGGCGAACGGGUGAGUAACACGUGAGUAACCUGCCCUUGACUUUGGGAUAACUUCAGGAAACUGGGGCUAAUACCGGAUAGGAGCUCCUGCUGCAUUGUGGGGGUUUGAAAGUUUCGGCGGUUGGGGAUGGACUCGCGGCUUAUCAGCUUGUUGGUGGGGUAGUGGCUUACCAAGGCUUUGACGGGUAGCCGGCCUGAGAGGGUGACCGGCCACAUUGGGACUGAGAUACGGCCCAGACUCCUACGGGAGGCAGCAGUGGGGAAUAUUGCACAAUGGGCGGAAGCCUGAUGCAGCAACGCCGCGUGCGGGAUGACGGCCUUCGGUUUGUAAACCGCUUUCGCCUGUGACGAAGCGUGAGUGACGGUAAUGGGUAAAGAAGCACCGGCUAACUACGUG